GAUGAACGCUGGCGGCGUGCCUAAUACAUGCAAGUCGAGCGAACAGAUGAGGAGCUUGCUCCUCUGACGUUAGCGGCGGACGGGGGAGUAACACGUGGAUAACCUCCCUAUAAGACUGGGAUAACUUCGGGAAACCGGAGCUAAUACCGGAUAAUAUAUUGAACCGCAUGGUUCAAUAGUGAAAGACGGUUUUGCUGUCACUUAUAGAUGGAUCCGCGCCGCAUUAGCUAGUUGGUAAGGUAACGGCUUACCAAGGCAACGAUGCGUAGCCGACCUGAGAGGGUGAUCGGCCACACUGGAACUGAGACACGGUCCAGACUCCUACGGGAGGCAGCAGUAGGGAAUCUUCCGCAAUGGGCGAAAGCCUGACGGAGCAACGCCGCGUGAGUGAUGAAGGUCUUCGGAUCGUAAAACUCUGUUAUUAGGGAAGAACAAAUGUGUAAGUAACUAUGCACGUCUUGACGGUACCUAAUCAGAAAGCCACGGCUAACUACGUG
rnacentral:rRNA from 1 species